rnacentral:rRNA from 1 species
UACGUAGGGUGCGAGCGUUGUCCGGAAUUAUUGGGCGUAAAGAGCUCGUAGGCGGUGUGUCACGUCGGCCGUGAAAACCUGCAGCUUAACUGUGGGCGUGCGGGCGAUACGGGCAGGCUAGAGUUCGGUAGGGGAGACUGGAAUUCCUGGUGUAGCGGUGAAAUGCGCAGAUAUCAGGAGGAACACCGGUGGCGAAGGCGGGUCUCUGGGCCGAUACUGACGCUGAGGAGCGAAAGCGUGGGGAGCGAACAGG